ACAAAAACAUUUCCUCUUGUUAAAAGGAGGUAAGGCCUGCUCACUGAAAUUUAAAGAGCCGCAGUAUUCUGACUGUGCUAAGGUAGCAUAAUCAUUAGUCUUUUAAUUGGAGACUGGUAUGAAUGGUUAAACGAGAAAUCAACUUUUUUUGCUAUAAAGAUUGAAUUUAAUUUUUUAGUGAAAAAGCUAAAAUUUUUCAGAAAGACGAGAAGACCCUAUAGAGUUUUAUAUCACGAAUAAUUUUCUUUUAGUAGGUUUUUUUGGAUAAAAUUUUUUUGUGAUAUUUUGUUGGGGCGACAUUAAGAUAAGAAAAACUCUUUAUUUUGAAAACUUUACUAAAAGAAUUAAAUGAUCCUUUAGAAGAGAUCAUAAGAAAAAAUUACCUUAGGGAUAACAGCGUAAUCUUUUUUGAGAGUUCUAAUCGACAAAAAGGUUUGCGACCUCGAUGUUGGACUAAAAUUCAGGCAGGGUGCAGUAGUUCUGUCUUUAGGUCUGUUCGACCUAUAAUAUUUUACAUGAUCUGAUUUCAGACCGG
rnacentral:rRNA from 1 species